rnacentral:rRNA from 1 species
GACGUAGGGCGCGAGCGUUGUCCGGAUUUAUUGGGCGUAAAGAGCUCGUAGGCGGCUUGUCGCGUCGUUCGUGAAAACCUGCAGCUCAACUGCAGGCUUGCGGUCGAUACGGGCAGGCUAGAGUUCGGUAGGGGAGACUGGAAUUCCUGGUGUAGCGGUGAAAUGCGCAGAUAUCAGGAGGAACACCGGUGGCGAAGGCGGGUCUCUAGACAACUCCUGACACUGAGGCACGAAAGCUAGGGGAGCAAACAGG